UGGGGAAUAUUGCACAAUGGGCGCAAGCCUGAUGCAGCCAUGCCGCGUGUGUGAAGAAGGCCUUCGGGUUGUAAAGCACUUUCAGCGGGGAGGAAGGCGAUAAGGUUAAUAACCUUGUCGAUUGACGUUACCCGCAGAAGAAGCACCGGCUAACUCCGUGCCAGUAGCCGCUGUAAUACGGAGGGUGCAAGCGUUAAUCGGAAUUACUGGGCGUAAAGCGCACGCAGGCGGUCUGUCAAGUCGGAUGUGAAAUCCCCGGGCUCAACCUGGGAACUGCAUUCGAAACUGGCAGGCUAGAGUCUUGUAGAGGGGGGUAGCAUUCCAGGUGUAGCAGUGAAAUGCGUAGCGAUCUGGAAGAAUACCGGUGGCGAAGGCGGCCCCCUAGACAAAAACUGACGCUCAGGUGCGAAAGCGUGGGGAGCAAACAGG
rnacentral:rRNA from 1 species